AUUAGAUCACACUGAAGGAGGUCGGUCGUGAUUACAGUAAGGAAAACAGUUGACAAGAUGAAAUUAUCUACAAGCUUAUUUCUGAGUUUGGUAGUCGCUUUUACCAUCGGGUCUGAAGCUUUAUAUGUAUCCAACACUGAUUCCUACCCGACCCUCAAUACAAUGAUGUCAAAUUUUUUUUUAUCCUCGGCGGCCAUCGACCCUGGGGCAUUCAGGGCACCUGCAAACCAGCCCUAGAAUCUUGUGGUGGUAAAUACGGAACAUGCUGCAAACCAAAUCUAAGAUGCAUAGCAAACUAUUGUCAGCGUUGAAUUUUAGAAUGAAUUGAAGCUUUGCCGUUCCGAUAAAACAGUGAUUAAGCGGCUU